GCGGUCGUGGCGAAAUUGGUAGACGCGCAGCAUUGAGGGUGCUGUUCUGUAAAAAGAUUGGAAGUUCAAAUCUUCUCGACCGCACCA
rnacentral:tRNA from 2 species